UACGUAGGAGGCAAGCGUUGUCCGGAAUUACUGGGCGUAAAGCGCGUGUAGGUGGUGGGACAAGUCUGCUGUGAAAGCGCCUGGCUUAACCGGGCGAGGUCGGCGGAAACUGUUUCACUGGAGGACGGUAGAGGGGGGUGGAAUUCCCGGUGUAGUGGUGAAAUGCGUAGAGAUCGGCAGGAACACCCAGGGGGAAACCAGUGGACUGGCACGGUGCUGACGCUCAGGUGCGAAAGCGUGGGGAGCGAACCGG
rnacentral:rRNA from 1 species